GACGAACGCUGGCGGCGUGCUUAACACAUGCAAGUCGAACGGUAAGGCCCUUCGGGGUACACGAGUGGCGAACGGGUGAGUAACACGUGGGUGAUCUGCCCUGCACUUCGGGAUAAGCCUGGGAAACUGGGUCUAAUACCGGAUAGGACCACUGCCUGCAUGGGUGGUGGUGGAAAGCUUUUGCGGUGGGGGAUGGGCCCGCGGCCUAUCAGCUUGUUGGUGGGGUGAUGGCCUACCAAGGCGACGACGGGUAGCCGGCCUGAGAUGGUGACCGGGCACACUGGGACUGAGAUACGGCCCAGACUCCUAAGGGAGGCAGCAGUGGGGAAUAUUGCACAAUGGGCGCAAGCCUGAUGCAGCGACGCCGCGUGAGGGAUGACGGCCUUCGGGUUGUAAACCUCUUUCAGCACCGACGAAGCGCAAGUGACGGUAGGUGCAGAAGAAGGACCGGCCAACUACGUGCCAGCAGCCGCGGUAA
rnacentral:rRNA from 1 species